UCUACAUGUCGUUAUUCUACUUAUCUGCACAAUGAGCAUAUACGUUUCCCACGUCAGGGGUUGAACUUUUACCUCAAGUCAAGUCAAGUGUAGUGACAGGUUAACCGGUUAGACAACAUCUUCAGACAGGGUGUGACACGGGCAGGUCAGCACUGCAAGCUUAAAGAUCUCUAACUUUGUCAUCAACUUUGUCUCACAGGUGAAAGAUGAAAGGAACCAUGAAAGUCCUUCUCCUGUUGAUCGUGUUGGUGACCAUGGUGCCUGAUGAUGUUGUCGGCUACCCCAAAUGUUUUUGCCCCCCAGACUGCUUGUGUGAAGUUGAUGAGGACUUUAACCGAGCUGCACGAGAGCGCAAACCACGAGACCUGGCAGCAGAUGUUGCUUCGAUCAAGACAGUGAAUGAUGCAUAUGAAAACGGGGCCCCACAACGUCCUCUUUUCUGACAUUGACGUGGAUACAGCACACGCAGCAGUAAAUUGCUGUGUUAGCUAAGACUACUGAUGCCGGAUGGUGAGACAUCACCAGUGCUACUUACCUGAGAGAUCUUCUGCUUGCAGCCACAAUCUCUGAUUUACUAAAUGAACGCUAGCGCACUCGCACAGCUUGUAGUUGCUAGACGAUCAAGUAGAAAUCCGCCCAGAUCUCAUUCUGAAUGACUCCUUCCACAAUUUAGCUCAUUCGUUAACUGAGCACCCCGUUACAGCACAAAGCAUUGGUCUAAACAUUCGAUGAGAUUUUGACAACAAAUUCUAAAAGAGCUUAAAGUUGUUCAAGAAAUUGUAUCUGAAUGAGCCAUAUGAUGUAUGUGUCAGGAACACAUACUAGAGUUAAUAAACAAUAAAUAAACCUUGAUUUCGGGAUGAAAGGAGUUUAGCGGUGCCGAUGUUUAGCCGAAUAAAAAGUGCUUGCUAUGCAUGGUGAACAUA